ensembl:lncRNA
CAACGGCCCAGUUUCCUUUACGAUAACCAUCAGUGAUCUUCUUAACAAAACGACUAAAUUAAGCUAAGCUCAGCUGCAUCAGACCCGUCUGUCCAGCAGGGGCCGCCCUUCGCUUGGUAUCCACUUUACGUUUACGUUUCGGUGGUAAGGGUGCAGCAAGUCCCCCGAUUGAUCAAAUCAUUUAUUGGCACAGCUCGCCAGCUCCAUGUGGAAGCAGUACCAGCAGUUGCACAUGCUGCCAGAUCAAGGUAACCGAAACAGGAAUUAACUAGUAGGACUGCUACUUCUGACCGAAUGGAAUAAGCGCAAACCAGUUUCUAAAGACGCGAGAUGCCAAAAGCUUUCUGAAGUCUUCAAUCAAAAAAAUCAAAGCUUGAACGUGGAGGGAAUACGUGUUCUCGUGGAAAGGUUCUUUACAGGGAUAUAAAGAAACCAGCUGUGGACGACUUCGAUGACUUCGGCAGAAUCGCGCAAAACUUUCUAUAAUCUUUUGGUUUCCUUCUUCCUCCACAUGGAGUGAUUCGCGUCUCCUCGGCGCGUUGGUUUGGAAAACAAGUAUUUUACAGCAAGGCACAACAGAUCCAAACACCAUGGGAUCGUUUCAUCUGAUUUGAGCCGUGUUGACGGUGUGGUUGUAGCGCACUCAUGCCGUCUCCUCUUG